CACGUAGGGCGCAAGCGUUGUCCGGAAUUAUUGGGCGUAAAGAGCUCGUAGGCGGUCUGCUGCGUCCGCUGUGAAAACUCGGGGCUUAACCCCGAGCCUGCAGUGGAUACGGGCAGACUAGAGGUAGGUAGGGGAGAAUGGAAUUCCCGGUGUAGCGGUGAAAUGCGCAGAUAUCAGGAGGAACACCGGUGGCGAAGGCGGUUCUCUGGGCCUUACCUGACACUGAGGAGCGAAAGCGUGGGGAGCGAACAGG
rnacentral:rRNA from 1 species